UACGGGGGGGGCAAGCGUUGUUCGGAAUUACUGGGCGUAAAGGGCUCGUAGGUGGCCAACUAAGUCAGACGUGAAAUCCCUCGGCUUAACCGGGGAACUGCGUUUGGAACUGGAAGGCUAGAGUGUGGCAGAGGGGGGUGGAAUUCCACGUGUAGCAGUGAAAUGCGUAGAGAUGUGGAGGAACACCGAUGGCGAAGGCAGCCCCCUGGGCUAACACUGACGCUCAUGCACGAAAGCGUGGGGAGCAAACAGG
rnacentral:rRNA from 1 species